rnacentral:lncRNA from 1 species
GUUGGUGUUGGCUUUGAUGACCUUGAUUGAGUGACAAGAAGUGUAAAGAAUGGGAGGGGGACACAGGCAGCAGAGAAAAAUCUGCGGAGAAAUGGGUAGCUGGAGGAUGAAGAGGUAGUUUUCUGACAUUUUAAGAGAUGAGCAAGGUAGUGUGUUAGUGAUCUAAUGGACUCUGAGGGAGCAUCCUUACCUUUGUUUUGUAGACAAUGAAACCAGGGCACAGAAAGCUUAAGUAAGUUGGGGAGCAAGGGUUAGAGGCCACCCAGAGUGCACUAGGGGGGGACUGUCUUUCUGCCUUGGGAUUGGGAACUUCAGCCCCCUGAAGUAGAGCUUGGGCACCAUUGUACAAGUCCUCCCUAUUCCAUGGGCCACUGCCAAGGCUCCUUCCCAGUCUGCUUCUCAGAGUGUCAAACGAGAGGACUGCCAGCUACUAUGAGCCUCUGACUUCUGCUCUCCCUCACCUCCAUAGGUUUGCCCACCUAUAACCAUGGGACGCAGGAAGUCAAAACGGAAACCACCCCCCAAGAAGAAGAUGACAGGCACCCUGGAGACCCAAUUCACCUGUCCUUUCUGCAACCACGAAAAGUCUUGUGAUGUGAAAAUGUGAGUGAGGGGCUGGGUGAGGCCUCCUGCCCCACUGGGUACCUGAGUCUCUCCCCCUUGCCUGUAGUCCUCCAUCCUGUCCCAGUCCUUCUGCUUGGGGGGUCACCAAGGGCUUAUUGCUCAUCAUUCUCUCCACCUCACUCUAUCCCAUAUCAGGGACCGUGCUCGCAAUACCGGAGUCAUCUCUUGUACCGUGUGCCUAGAGGAAUUUCAAACGCCCAUCACAUGUAUCCUUGGAAAAUGCAGCUUUUGGCUGGGAGGGGCGGGGGUAGUCAGAGCUGUCAUGCCCAGGGUGGGCUAAUUAGGGGCAGAUCGCUAAGGGUGAGGGGGCUGGAGUCCAUCCCUACGCCUCUAGCCCCACUGUGGCCUGGCACAGGGCCACUGCCACUAAGGUGAGCAGAGGUAUAUGGGGGGGGGGGUGUCCAGUGCCACUAAUUGUCCUUGACCUCAGCAAUUCAGAUUUGUCAGAACCAGUGGAUGUGUACAGCGAUUGGAUAGAUGCCUGUGAGGCAGCCAAUCAGUAGCAACACAGAGGACCCAUCCCUUGGUGGCCCUGCCUGCCACGGACCCACCUGCUGGGUCCCAAUCCAGAGACAUUCCAGGGGUCCAGGGUGUGGGUCCAGAGCUGUGUGUAUGGAAUGGGUGUGAGCGUGAGUGAGCUGGUGUGGCUGCAAGCAUGGCUGUGUGCACGUGGACUUGGGGUGAAAUUGGUCUCCUGGGCCUGAGAGGCCCAAACUGGCCUCAUUUGGCUCCAGACUCCUUUGAACUGCUCCAUUCUCCAGCCCCAGCCUCCUGUGGCUUUGGAGUCCUGGCUCCUUCAGGGUAGGUUCCUGACAUCCUGGGCAAGGGAAGCCACCAGAGUCUGAAGAGGGACCUCCCUGGACUCCUCACCCACCUCACCAGCACCUCACCUGUGUGAACAGGAUUUCCCGCCCUUCUUCCCUUCCUCCCAGUGCCUGUAACUGGGUGUCAGCCACGUUCCCCAGGUCCCUUGGCUGGGCCUCGGUAGGAGGCCAGCUCCCCUGUGCUAACUAGAUAAGCUCUGUGUUAAUGGGAGCUGCUUUAUAGAGGAGGCAAGGAACGGUGUGGGGAUAGCUGUCAAUCAACUAGCCCUUCAAUAAAGCAGCUCAU